AAUUUAUGAUUCUAUUUUUGCAGACUGAUCUGGUGCUGGAGAAGUUACAUCACCUUUUGACAUUGUUCGCAUUUUUCCAGCUGUGAAAAGCUCCUCCCUUUCCUCUUUUUGGAGUACAGGCUGGUGUGAUGCCUGUGUUUUACACAGUGGUUUUACACUCAUGUCUAAAAGUGAACAUGGUGAUGAUUUAUUGGUGUCAUAAAACACCUUUUUGCAACUUUGAGUUCUGUGGGUUAUGGCUCAUACUUAAAUUAUGACUGAAGCUGCUCUCAGUUUGGGGAAUAAUAUGUGAGAAAAUAUGUGAUUGUUCCCCCUGAGUUCAGUCCAAGAGAUCCAAUCAAAUCGCUUUCUGUGACCGACUGACAUUUUCCCAAAAUGGCGAUGCCCGCCCACCAGGCCCUCCACCCUGGCUAAAAGUGAGCGCUCAAAGUGUUUUAAAAUUGCAGUUUGACCCCAGCAUAGAGGAGGUCCACACACACCGAGUUUAAUCCUACUCCAUAUCUCUUUUGGCAUAGUUAGAAUUCAGAAGUGCUCAGCUCUAACUGGAAGGCCCUUCUGAUUAGAGAAAACCCACAAUGCCCUCUGUUGUUGUUGUGAACUUUUGACAGCGUGGGCCGGGCCUCGACAGCGGCGAGCUGCACAGAGGAGUCGGCAGUGGGGCGGAAUAUUUGACAUUUCUCCGUGAUGACAGGCUUGUUACUACUCUUGUUUCGUACUGUAUGUAUCCUCUCUGUGUGGACCCACGUCUCCCGUGGCAACACAAAAUUUGAUUUGGAUGACAAAUACUUUCCAGCUCUGGAGUAUGGACUGUUUUGGCAAACCCCACCCAGCUUGUACUCAAAUUGAGUCCUGAGCAUUCAUUUUCAAGGACUGUGACUACACUGGGCGCUAAUGUAUUCUUCAUGGUGAACAUGGUUAGGAUGAAGGAUCAGAAGCUCUUUUCUGUGCACAGAGGCCAUGCUGAGGAGAGGUGUAUUUGUUAGAGCUCCUGUCAAAGGAGAGAAUAAACCCCCAGUUGGCAUGAGGUCAGUGGGUCUCAUCUACUUCAACGUCACAAAGACUGAAGAUGAAAUGCUUUGUAAGGUUUUUUAAUCUUCUUUCCUCAUCGCUGAUGUUCACAAACACAGGCUGCUCUGCCUCUGCUCUGCAGCACUGUGUUUGGGGACCCCAUGAAGAAUAGGGGAUCUGAAAGCACUAAAGGCAACAGCGCAGUCAGACUUUCUCUACGUGGAUUUUUACAGAUGGUCAACUUUCAUGGAUGUAAACCCAUUUUAAUUGAAAGCACAGUCAUCUCAAAUCAUCCGAUCACGGUUUCUUCUAAUGUAUAGUCUUUUCUUCUGUCCAAUAUGUCUCUAGUUGUCAAAAUGUUUUGUCAUAAACUUGUUAAAAGUCAGUGAGAAAAAUCCACUUGGCUAUUAAUACUGCUUACUUUGUUGACAAUAACCUUUUUUGAUGAAACUGUAAUGAUGCUAUUUGUCUUAAAUGUUGCAGACCCCCCCCCCCCCCCCCCCCCAUGUUUCAAUGCAGCUUUUCCCCUCCAGCAAAUGUGAUUUGCUGUAAUUACAAUACCCCCUGUCUGAGGCACCUGUGCAGGAACUCCUGCCAAUACAAAUUCACCUUGUUUUUCUCAUCUGCUACAAGUCUGCUAAUUCACCCAGAGGAGUCGAGUGAAGUGCACACAGCCACUCUGAGGGAGUGUUUUGCAUUAAAAAUCCUUUUGAGCCGAUGUAAGUUUGAGAAGAGGAGGGGGAAAAAAGUCUGUCUUUAAUAAUGCAAAAUGUGAGACGGCACAGAGCAAUAUACAUUUUUAAUUACUAAAGUGACUAAUAUCUAGGUUUGGCUUUGAGGUUUUUGUUCCAUAAAAUAUGCAUUUGUAUUUUGUUCCCUGCAGCCGAGUUGGAUACACAUACCUGAGCAGAGCUGCAGGCUUUUAGUACUGAGGAGGAAGUUUAAUAACAUGAUAUGUUCAGGUACUACAUGCAAAUAAGUAAAUGUGAAUUUUAUGAAGGGUAAAAGUAAGCCAUGCAUACCUAAAUAACUGUCAGGUUGCCGAAACGUGUCCUAAUAACAGCCUUACUGAAAGAGAGCUGUACAUUUCAUGGCGGAUACUUAUGGUU